rnacentral:rRNA from 1 species
CCUACGGGAGGCAGCAGUGGGGAAUAUUGCACAAUGGGGGAAACCCUGAUGCAGCGACGCCGCGUGAGUGAAGAAGUAUUUCUGUAUGUAAAGCUCUAUCAGCAGGAACGAGACAAGACGGUACCUGACUAAGAAGCCCCGGCUAACUACGUGCCAGCCGCCGCGGUAAUACGGAGGGGGCGAGCGUUAUCCGGAAUCACUGGGUGUAAAGGGAGCGUAGACGGCUGUGCAAGCCUGAAGUGGAAGGCGGGGGCCCAACCCCGGGACUGCUUUGGGAACUGUACGGCUGGAGUGCAGGAGAGGUAAGUGGAAUUCCUAGUGUAGCGGUGAAAUGCGUAGAUAUUAGGAGGAACACCAGUGGCGAAGGCGGCUUACGGGACUGUAACUGACGUUGAGGCUCGAAAGCGUGGGGAGCAAACAGGAUUAGAUACCCCGGUAGUC